UGGGGAAUCUUCCGCAAUGGACGAAAGUCUGACGGAGCAACGCCGCGUGAGUGAUGACGGUCUUCGGAUUGUAAAGCUCUGUUAAUCGGGACGAAUGGUUUGUGUGCAAAUAGUGCAUAGACAUGACGGUACCGGAAUAGAAAGCCACGGCUAACUACGUGCCAGCAGCCGCGGUAAUACGGAAGGUUCGGGCGUUAUCCGGAUUUAUUGGGUUUAAAGGGAGCGUAGGCCGUUUGGUAAGCGUGUUGUGAAAUGUAGGAGCUCAACUUCUAGAUUGCAGCGCGAACUGUCAGACUUGAGUGCGCACAACGUAGGCGGAAUUCAUGGUGUAGCGGUGAAAUGCUUAGAUAUCAUGAAGAACUCCGAUUGCGAAGGCAGCUCACGGGAGCGCAACUGACGCUGAAGCUCGAAGGUGCGGGUAUCGAACAGG
rnacentral:rRNA from 1 species